rnacentral:rRNA from 1 species
UACGUAGGGUGCGAGCGUUAAUCGGAAUUACUGGGCGUAAAGCGUGCGCAGGCGGUUCUGUAAGCCAGAUGUGAAAGCCCCGGGCUUAACCUGGGAAUGGCAUUUGGGACUGCAAGGCUAGAGUGUGGCAGAGGAGACUGGAAUUCCUGGUGUAGCAGUGAAAUGCGUAGAUAUCAGGAGGAAUACCGAUGGCGAAGGCAGGUCUCUGGGUUAACACUGACGCUCAUGCACGAAAGCGUGGGGAGCAAACAGG